rnacentral:rRNA from 1 species
AACGCUAGCUACAGGCUUAACACAUGCAAGUCGAGGGGCAGCGGAGAGGAAAGCUUGCUUUCCUCUGCCGGCGACCGGCGCACGGGUGAGUAACACGUAUGCAACCUACCCCUGGCAGGGGGAUAACCCGGAGAAAUCCGGACUAAUACCGCGUAACACCGCGGGGAGACAUCUCCCGGCGGUCAAAGGAAGCGAUUCCGGCCAGGGAUGGGCAUGCGGCGCAUUAGGCAGUUGGCGGGGUAACGGCCCACCAAACCGACGAUGCGUAGGGGUUCUGAGAGGAAGGUCCCCCACACUGGUACUGAGACACGGACCAGACUCCUACGGGAGGCAGCAGUGAGGAAUAUUGGUCAAUGGGCGCAAGCCUGAACCAGCCAAGUCGCGUGAGGGAAGACGGUCCUAUGGAUUGUAAACCUCUUUUGUCAGGGAGCAAGCGCGGGACGUGUCCCGUAGCUGAGAGUACCUGAAGAAAAAGCAUCGGCUAACUCCGUGCCAGCAGCCGCGGUAAUACGGAGGAUGCGAGCGUUAUCCGGAUUUAUUGGGUUUAAAGGGUGCGUAGGCGGACCGUUAAGUCAGUGGUAAAAUUGAGAGGCUCAACCUCUUCCGGCCAUUGAAACUGGCGGACUUGAGUGAGCGAGAAGUAUGCGGAAUGCGUGGUGUAGCGGUGAAAUGCAUAGAUAUCACGAAGAACUCCGAUUG